AACGAACGCUGGCGGCAUGCCUAACACAUGCAAGUCGAAUGAGACCUUCGGGUCUAGUGGCGCACGGGCGCGUAACGCGUGGGAACCUGCCCUUAGGUUCGGAAUAACUCAGAGAAAUUUGAGCUAAUACCGGAUAAUGUCUUCGGACCAAAGAUUUAUCGCCUUUGGAUGGGCCCGCGUAGGAUUAGCUUGUUGGUGGGGUAAUGGCCUACCAAGGCGACGAUCCUUAGCUGGUCUGAGAGGAUGAUCAGCCACACUGGGACUGAGACACGGCCCAGACUCCUACGGGAGGCAGCAGUGGGGAAUAUUGGACAAUGGGCGAAAGCCUGAUCCAGCAAUGCCGCGUGAGUGAUGAAGGCCUUAGGGUUGUAAAGCUCUUUUACCAGGGAUGAUAAUGACAGUACCUGGAGAAUAAGCUCCGGCUAACUCCGUG
rnacentral:rRNA from 1 species